rnacentral:rRNA from 1 species
CGAACGGGUGAGUAACGCGUGAGGAACCUGCCUCAAAGAGGGGGACAACAGUUGGAAACGACUGCUAAUACCGCAUAAGCCCACGGGUCGGCAUCGACCAGAGGGAAAAGGAGCAAUCCGCUUUGAGAUGGCCUCGCGUCCGAUUAGCUAGUUGGUGAGGUAAUGGCCCACCAAGGCGACGAUCGGUAGCCGGACUGAGAGGUUGAACGGCCACAUUGGGGACUGAGACACGGCCCAGACUCCUACGGGAGGCAGCAUG